rnacentral:rRNA from 1 species
AUUGAACGCUGGCGGCAGGCCUAACACAUGCAAGUCGAGCGGAUGAAGGGAGCUUGCUCCUGGAUUCAGCGGCGGACGGGUGAGUAAUGCCUAGGAAUCUGCCUGGUAGUGGGGGAUAACUUCCGGAAACGGGCGCUAAUACCGCAUACGUCCUGAGGGAGAAAGUGGGGGAUCUUCGGACCUCACGCUAUCAGAUGAGCCUAGGUCGGAUUAGCUAGUUGGUGGGGUAAAGGCCUACCAAGGCGACGAUCCGUAACUGGUCUGAGAGGAUGAUCAGUCACACUGGAACUGAGACACGGUCCAGACUCCUACGGGAGGCAGCAGUGGGGAAUAUUGGACAAUGGGCGAAAGCCUGAUCCAGCCAUGCCGCGUGUGUGAAGAAGGUCUUCGGAUUGUAAAGCACUUUAAGUAGGGAGGAAGGGCAGUAAGUUAAUACCUUGCUGUUUUGACGGUACCAACAGAAUAAGCACCGGCUAACUUCGUG